rnacentral:rRNA from 1 species
CAAUAAGCGGAGGAAAAGAAACCAACAGGGAUUGCCCCAGUAACGGCGAGUGAAGCGGCAAGAGCUCAAAUUUGAAAGCUGGCCCCCUCGGGGUCCGCAUUGUAAUUUGCAGAGGAUGCUUCGGGAGCGGCCCCCAUCUAAGUGCCCUGGAACGGGCCGUCAUAGAGGGUGAGAAUCCCGUAUGGGAUGGGGUGCCCGCGCCCGUGUGAAGCUCCUUCGACGAGUCGAGUUGUUUGGGAAUGCAGCUCUAAAUGGGUGGUAAAUUUCAUCUAAAGCUAAAUAUUGGCCGGAGACCGAUAGCGCACAAGUAGAGUGAUCGAAAGAUGAAAAGCACUUUGAAAAGAGAGUUAAACAGCACGUGAAAUUGUUGAAAGGGAAGCGCUUGCGACCAGACUCGCCCGCGGGGUUCAGCCGGCAUUCGUGCCGGUGUACUUCUCCGCGGGCGGGCCAGCGUCGGUUUGGGCGGCCGGUCAAAGGCCCCUGGAAUGUAACGCCUCUCGGGGCGUCUUAUAGCCAGGGGUGCCAUGCGGCCUGCCCGGACCGAGGAACGCGCUUCGGCUCGGACGCUGGCAUAAUGGUCGUAAGCGACCCGUCUUGAAACACGGACCAAGGAGUCUAACAUCUACGCGAGUGUUCGGGUGUCAAACCCGUGCGCGCAGUGAAAGCGAACGGAGGUGGGAACCCUUUGGGUGCACCAUCGACCGAUCCUGAUGUCUUCGGAUGGAUUUGAGUAAGAGCGUAGCUGUUGGGACCCGAAAGAUGGUGAACUAUGCCUGAAUAGGGCGAAGCCAGAGGAAACUCUGGUGGAGGCUCGCAGCGGUUCUGACGUGCAAAUCGAUCGUCAAAUUUGGGUAUAGGGGCGAAAGACUAAUCGAACCAUCUAGUAGCUGGUUCUGCG